CCAAACUUUCCAUAAGUUUAUUUCACAAAUUGUAUUGUUUCAUUUUCAUUUAACUUUAUUUUAGCUAAACUCAUAAAUAGUAAAUGGUUCCUUGAUUUGAGAAAGAAAAAAACCCAGUUGGUAUGGCGAAAUCGGCGUCGAAUUCUGUGAUGCAGACCCUGAAGCGGUUCAUGAAGAAGCCAUGGGAGAUCACGGGCCCGUGCGCGGGCCCCGAGUACAAAUCCGCAUUACCCUUGGCCGUGGAGUACCGCCUCAGCUGCCCCGCCACCGUCAAGGAGAAGCCCAUCAUCCCCAACUCCCUCCCGGAGACCGUCUACGACAUCAAGUACUUCACCCGCGACCAGCGCCGCAACCGCCCUCCCAUCCGACGCACCGUUUUGAAGAAUCCCGAUGUCGAAAAGCUCAUGAAGGAGCAGACCUUCGCCUUCUCCGACUUCCCUCCCGUUUAUCUCAACUCCAUCGUCGAGGAGGACAUUAACGCUCGCGGUGGCGGAUACCAGUGACUGACAGGUUUGUGCUAUUGUGGGAUGACAUUAUUGGCCCUGUCAACUGUCUGUAUUUUGUCAAUGGAAAGGUCUGAAUAGUCUUUAUCACAUACCUGUAACGACCAUCCAAAUUUAAAGAGGGCAACUAGACGGAGCAUGCAGCUUACUCAUCUUGGAAAUGAAAUCCAUAUUUUGUUUAAAGCUUUAUUUUUGUUAGAGCUAUAAAAUCGUGCCUUCACCUAAGAGCUUUAUUAGCUUUUCACAAAUUUUGUUUAUAAUUUGGUGGUAUCAAAUUCUCUGUCGCGUC